GACAGAAUAACACGUAAUUCGGUGUCUGUAUAGAACCCAGGCGAGUUUAUGUCUUCGCGGACGAAAAGACACCUAUAUUUUUCUUUAACGUGGUAUCCAAACACUUUGUCAAUGAUCUCAGUUGGUAAAUUUUGAAUCAUUUUAAAGCAGAAAUAGCGGCGUGGGUAGAUUAAAUCGAGGAUAGAGAUAAUUUACAAUUUCUUUAGAAGAAAUUUUCGGAGACUUUGUAUUUUGACAGCAAAAUCAAAA